rnacentral:rRNA from 1 species
AUUGAACGCUGGCGGCAGGCCUAACACAUGCAAGUCGAACGAGUGGCGGACGGGUGAGGAAUGUCUGGGAAACUGCCUGAUGGAGGGGGAUAACUACUGGAAACGGUAGCUAAUACCGCAUACCAUCAGAUGUGCCCAGAUGGGAUUAGCUUGUUGGUGGGGUAACGGCUCACCAAGGCGACGAUCCCUAGCUGGUCUGAGAGGAUGACCGGCCACACUGUAACUGAGACACGGUCCAGACCCCUACGGGAGGCAGCAGUUGGGAAUAUUGCACAAUGGGCGGAAGCAUGAUGAAGCCAUGCCGCGUGUAUGAAGAAGGCCUUCGGGUUGUAAAGUACUUUCAGCGGGGAGGCGUUACCCUGAGAAGAAGCACCAGCUAACUGCGUGCCAGCAGACGCGGUAAUACC